rnacentral:tRNA from 1 species
GCAUCGGUGGUUUAGUGGUAGAAUGCUCGCCUGCCACGCGGGCGGCCAGGGUUCGAUUCCCGGCCGAUGCU